GACGAACGCUGGCGGCGUGCUUAACACAUGCAAGUCGAACGAUGACGACAGGGCUUGCCUUGUCUGAUUAGUGGCGAACGGGUGAGUAACACGUGAGUAACCUGCCCCCCUCUUCGGGAUAACCUCGGGAAAUCGGGGCUAAUACCGGAUAUGACUUCGCACCGCAUGGUGUGUUGUGGAAAGUUUUUCGGUGGGGGAUGGACUCGCGGCCUAUCAGUUUGUUGGUGAGGUAAUGGCUCACCAAGGCGAUGACGGGUAGCCGGCCUGAGAGGGCGACCGGCCACACUGGGACUGAGACACGGCCCAGACUCCUACGGGAGGCAGCAGUGGGGAAUAUUGCACAAUGGGCGAAAGCCUGAUGCAGCGACGCCGCGUGGGGGAUGACGGCCUUCGGGUUGUAAACCUCUUUCAGUAGGGAAGAAGCGAAAGUGACGGUACCUGCAGAAGAAGCGCCGGCUAACUACGUGCCAGCAGCCGCGGUAAUACGUAGGGCGCAAGCGUUGUC
rnacentral:rRNA from 1 species